GAGUUUGAUCAUGGCUCAGGAUGAACGCUAGCGACAGGCUUAACACAUGCAAGUCGAGGGGCAGCGGGGGUGAUGGCUUGCCAUCACCUGCCGGCGACCGGCGCACGGGUGAGUAACACGUAUGCAUCCUGCCCUCUUCAGGGGGACAACCUUCCGAAAGGGAGGCUAAUCCCGCGUAUAUCGGUUUCGGGCAUCCGUUAUCGAGGAAAGAUUCAUCGGAAGAGGAUGGGCAUGCGGCGCAUUAGCUUGACGGCGGGGUAACGGCCCACCGUGGCGACGAUGCGUAGGGGUUCUGAGAGGAAGGUCCCCCACACUGGUACUGAGACACGGACCAGACUCCUACGGGAGGCAGCAGUGAGGAAUAUUGGUCAAUGGGAGGGAUCCUGAACCAGCCAAGCCGCGUGAGGGAAGACGGCCCUAUGGGUUGUAAACCUCUUUUGUCGGAGAACAAAACCCGGGACGUGUCCCGGACUGCGUGUAUCCGAAGAAAAAGCAUCGGCUAACUCCGUGCCAGCAGCCGCGGUAAUACGGAGGAUGCGAGCGUUAUCCGGAUUUAUUGGGUUUAAAGGGUGCGUAGGCGGUCCGUUAAGUCAGCGGUAAAAUUGCGGGGCUCAACCCCGUCGAGCCGUUGAAACUGUCAGACUUGAGUUGGCGAGAAGUACGCGGAAUGCGCGGUGUAGCGGUGAAAUGCAUAGAUAUCGCGCAGAACUCCGAUUGCGAAGGCAGCUUACCAGUCUGCGACUGACGCUCAGGCACGAAAGUGUGGGUAUCGAACAGGAUUAGAUACCCUGGUAGUCCACACAGUAAACGAUGAGCGCUAGGUGUCCGGGUCGCAUGAGACUUGGGUGCCCGAGCGAAAGCGUUAAGCGCUCCACCUGGGGAGUACGCCGGCAACGGUGAAACUCAAAGGAAUUGACGG
rnacentral:rRNA from 1 species